UGCGAUUCGUAAGGGCGUGUUUGGCCCUUCCUAUUUGUGGAAAGCUUUUAUAUAUGCAUAUAUGCCUUAUGAGUUGUUGAACUCAUCUAUUUUGAACCAAACAAAAAAAUAAAAAUAUCUAGAGAAAGGGGAAGGAGAACCGUGAGAGGGAGAGAGGGAGAGAGAGAAGAGGCAAAGCUUCUCCCUAAGGAAUUCAACAUCCAUGGAAGCUUGAAGAUGGUUGAAGAAGAUAGAAGAGAGAGGAAAGAUCAACCAAAAGCUUGGGAAAAAUUGAAGAGACUAAGGGAUAAACAAAGGUUUGGGUAAGGUCGAGACGAUGACAUUGUACCAUUACCACCGGGAACCGAUCACUGUAACCAACCAAGUGGUCAGUCCUAGUCAUGGCACCCGUUUUCUUUUAUCAACCUUCGUGGGUUCAGGCACUGCACGAAGCCAUUUAUUUUUGUAAAGUCUAUUGGAAUGUUGGCUUAAUUUUGAUUACCCAUUUAAAGUUAAAGAGGUAGAACUUCAAUGAUUUUUUUUUUAUAUAAGCCCAAUGAUGGGGCUGGAUCUGUACAUAUGGUUGUUUAUCACCGAUGCUACAACAUAUGGUUUGGAGCUUUAUCUAUUUUCCAUGAUGAAUGUGAUGUAUAAGAGGUCCUGGCAUGUAGAUGUAGCUCAAUGGAAUUUAUAUGUAUAGUUAUUUUCCUACUUUAUGCUUC